rnacentral:rRNA from 1 species
GUGUCCGCCGCCGCGGUACUACGUAGGGUGCAAGCGUUAAUCGGAAUUACUGGGCGUAAAGCGUGCGCAGGCGGUUAUGUAAGACAGGUGUGAAAUCCCCGGGCUUAACCUGGGAACUGCAUUUGUGACUGCAUAGCUAGAGUACGGUAGAGGGGGAUGGAAUUCCGCGUGUAGCAGUGAAAUGCGUAGAUAUGCGGAGGAACACCGAUGGCGAAGGCAAUCCCCUGGACCUGUACUGACGCUCAUGCACGAAAGAGGGGGGAGCAAACAGGAGGAUAAACCAUCGGCUUAC